GAUACCAUAAGUAUUUGCGGCAAACUUUUGCCCACACUUAUCUCUAAGGAAAUUACAUAAAAUAUCCUAAUUAAUAGAUACAAUUGCCUUCUUAGGACUCUAUCCAUGUGCGGCAAUCAUCACGAAGUGCAUCAACCUAAACCGACAACGUAUGCCAUGUCAUGCUGUCAGAUUUGGCUCAAUCGGCUAACCCAUCUGACCGAACUCUGCCGAUUUCAGUCGUAGCCGAUUCAGAUUCUAGCUGAUCCUUACUCUGUUUCCGGAAUGAUUUCAAUCUUGAUUCCUUCUCGAUUUCUUCCUCAUCUCUGAUCCCUGGAUUAGCAAAUUUGGUCGUUAACAGGAUCGUCUUGUCUGGCGUUGGACGAGUGACCAGCGCUACUCGGCGCAUUCGGCGUACCAGGCGUUCUUCCUUGGCCAGCACUCCUUUGCUUGUGUCGAUCUUCUCUUGAACGCGAAAGGCCCUGCUAAAUGCAAAUUCUUCCUCUGGUUUGCAUUCCAGCAGCGCUGUUGGAUGGCUGAUCUCCUCCAAAAGCGUAGCAUCGAUAGCCACUCGACCUGCCCCUUUUGCGCUCAAGAGCUCGAGACAGCGAACCACAUCCUCCUCGACUACGUUUUCGCUCGUCAGGUCUGGUUACGGGUGCUGUCGCCUCCUGGCUGGAAUGCCCUCUCGCCCCCCGUGGCAGCUGGCUCCAGGACUGGUGGCCAUCUUCCAAGGCUGGUUUACCUGAUCACCUCCGUGCCAGCUUCGACUCCCUGGUCCUCCUGGUCUUGUGGCAGCUAUGGAAGGAACAUAACUCCGGGGUGUUUGACUCUGCGCUCUCUUCGGUCUCAGUGGUCCUAGAGUCCAUCCUGUCGGAGGGCCGGUUGUGGUCGUUAGCGGGCGUUGCUUCCUUUAGGGACUUGUUGGGAGUGUAGCAUGACUCUGCCCCCUCCCGUUGUUUAGAGUAGCGUUCAAGUUUUUCUUUUUCUUUUUUCUCUUCGUUGUUUUUUGACUUUGCGUUUUUUCCCCUUCCUUGGCAUAAGCCGGUCUGGCCAAUUGCAGUGUGUAACAAAAACUCUAUUCCUCUAAUAUAUUGACGUGCAAUCUUUUUGCGUGUUCGCGAAAAAAAAUCAACAUAAAGAAAAACUGAUCUGAAGAUAAGUCAGCCAACACAUUGUUGGUAACAAAUAAAAUCACAAACGAUAAGCCUAGAUGCCUGGAUAGGCAGCACCAGUGGCAGGUGAGGUCUUCAAAAUAGCAAUUGGCAUAGCAAAGGCACUUGAAUAUCUACAUAAUGGAAGUAUCACCCAAUCUGUGAUUCAUGGAGAUGUUAAGUCUUCGAAUAUCCUCCUCUCAGAGGAUUUUCAGGCACAGCUUUGUGAUUUUGGGUUGGCAAAGCAAGUGUCAGCUUCAACUCCCCGCCUAACAUGUACUGACAUCACGGGAACUUUUGGGUAAGUACCAUCUCUAUGCUAUUUUUACCUGCUAUUGCUACUUUUGUCAAGUGUGAAAUGCCUAAGCAAACUACUCCAGUGACAGAUACUUGGCUCCCGAGUAUUUUUCGCACGGGAAGGUCAAUGAGAAAAUUGAUGUCUAUGCAUUUGGAGUUGUAAUUCUGGUUCUGGAGAUUAUUUCAGGAAGAAGACAUAUUAGAACAGGAUGUGCAAAGGGUCAGGAAAGCCUGGUUGGAUGGGCAAAGCCAUUACUAUCAAGUGGGGAAAUUAAACAAUUGGUUGAUCCAUUCUUGGGAAAUGAUUAUGACUGUGACGAAAUGGAGAGGAUGAUGUUGGAUUAGGCCUCCAUUCUUUAGCUGAUGACUGACUCUUGCAGCCUUGCUAUGCACAAGGACAUCUUCUCAUUCCCGACCGGAAAUGUCACAGAUUUUGAAACUGCUUGAAGGAGAUGACGAAACGAUCCACUGACCACUGGGCAAGGUCCCACGUCACCGCGAGCUUCGACGGAUCAGACGAGGAGGCUGUGGCGGCUCCUGACUCAAACAUGCAGUCACACCUGAACCUCGCGUUGCUGGGCGUGGAGGAUGACACCCUCUCGCACUGCAGCACUGAACAGACCAUGGACACUUCAGCUGACGGGUACUGGAGCCGGUCAUCGAGCUUCGACUAACCUCCUGCUACUUUUUUCUUAACCACCAUUUGUGAUUUGUUCUGAUUUUGAGCCAUGUGAAUGGGAGCUGUGUAUAGAGUCUCUCAAUUCUCAUACCUUUGCUACUGCUGUUGUUGUGUCGAUUGGUUGGAAUGGUGAAUGGAAAGAAAGUGGAUUGGAGGAUGA